CCAGACUCCUACGGGAGGCAGCAGUGAGGAAUAUUGGUCAAUGGCCGAAGGGCUGAACCAGCCAAGCCGCGUGAAGGAAUAAGGCCCUACGGGUCGUAAACUUCUUUAGUCAGGGAACAAAGGGAGCCACGCGUGGCGCUGUGAGUGUACCUGAAGAAUAAGCAUCGGCUAACUCCGUGCCAGCAGCCGCGGUAAUACGGAGGAUGCGAGCGUUAUCCGGAUUUAUUGGGUUUAAAGGGUGCGUAGGCGGGCUUUUAAGUCAGCGGUAAAAAUUCGGGGCUCAACCCCGUCCGGCCGUUGAAACUGGGGAUCUAGAGUGUGCGAGAGGUAUGCGGAAUGCGUGGUGUAGCGGUGAAAUGCAUAGAUAUCACGCAGAACCCCGAUUGCGAAGGCAGCAUACCGGUGCACAACUGACGCUCAGGCACGAAAGCGUGGGUAUCGAACAGGAUUAGAUACCCCGGUACA
rnacentral:rRNA from 1 species